rnacentral:rRNA from 1 species
UACGUAGGCAGCAAGCGUUGUUCGGAAUUACUGGGCGUAAAGCGCACGUAGGCGGACUCUUAAGUCGGUGGUGAAAUCCUGGAGCUCAACUCCAGAACUGCCUUCGAUACUGGGAGUCUUGAGUCCGGGAGAGGUGAGUGGAACUGCGAGUGUAGAGGUGAAAUUCGUAGAUAUUCGCAAGAACACCAGUGGCGAAGGCGGCUCACUGGCCCGGUACUGACGCUGAGGUGCGAAAGCGUGGGGAGCAAACAGG